rnacentral:lncRNA from 1 species
AUGCAUAGUAGUAGUACAAAUUAAGCACUAGCAGGCUAGCUCAUUCACUAUAAAAUGAGGUUAAGAUUAAGUAUAAAAUCGAUAGGACCUAAACUGACACUAAUAACACCGCCGACACCGCCAAUACCGAUAUUUACAAGGUUCAAGGAUGAUGCCAAAAGCCCAACAGAUGGUAAGCUCGCAUUACAUGUUGAAAGUGGAGUUGCAACUACUAAAAGGCAGUUGAUUAAUAGCAAUGGCAAAGUAUUUACAUGAGAAUCCAUCACCAAGGAAAUUACUCCUGAUCUAUUUGUUAUGGUACUUGAUAUCACAUUUCUUGCUCCACACCGCAAUUGCACUGGUGCAUCUGCAAAGUUAAAUGAUAUUAAUAUUAUUUACGCAAUUAGAUCAACUUUGCAUUUUAGUGGACAUGUUGAAAAUAAAAUUAAUUAUCUAAAUAAAAAGAUAUUAUCUCACACUUUUUAAACUUUUAGAUGCAAUGAUCAUACAGUUCAACAUGCAGAAACGUUUUAUGAUGGGGUAGGGCCAUAUGCAUCUUAUGACUCUGAGUGUAGAAUUCAUUCGACUCAAGUUACUCUAUGUUUAUACCAUCCUCACCCAUUGUUAUGAAAGGAAUAAUAGAUGCAGUGUUAUUUCACUUAGACUUCAAAUCAAGAAAUCUUCCUAACUUUUAAGAAAGUUUACUUGUAGUUUUCUCUUGGAUCAUCUGACAGUAUAUAUAUACUCAUAUAUCAUAGGCUAAUAAUACCACUUACGAUAUCUAUCAUAGGAUUUAGUGUGUAUAUAUGGCUAAUUUUUUAUUCAAUUAGGGAGAGUUCCCUUUUGGUAUAUAUAUAUAUAUAUAUAUAUAAUAGGUCUACGUACAAAAUAAAAAACUUACUAAGAAAUAUUUUGGGGGUGAGUCCGUUGAUGACAUCUAAAGUGCCAUUAACGCUGCAAAAUACCACCCCGCUUAUACGUAUUGAACCAAGUUGGGCAACUACAACGGGGGUUGCGAUUAAUGCAGCCAAAAGGAAAAUCAAGAAAACUUUUGUUGAAGCCAUGGCAGUUAUUUUAAUAUGUGAGUAAGUCAAUAUGUGUGAGAAGUCAUGAAUGACAUGAUACUGUAUAGCAUGAGGAAAAAUGCUUCUCUAUGCCUGUAUGUCAAGUGUGCAUGCCGAAUGCGAUGCGACAAAAUGAUAAAACCAUAUGCAUACUCUCAGAGUAUCAAUUCACUAAAUCCUCCCAGUCACUCAGUCAUCACAGCUACCCAGUCCUCACAGUCACUCCAUCCUCACAAUCACUCAGCACUCGGCACUCAGCAGUUGCACUCACUAGGGGUGUCUACAGACUCUGGAGGGGGUCCUUCAGCCCAAGUACUCUAACUGCACGGACAACUCAUGUGCUAUAGUAUCAAUAUCCUCACAAUCAGGUCCUCGGCUUUACUCAGUCAUCAAUCUCUCCAGUCUCUUGGGCUCUCAAUGUCAUGAAGAAUCAUCCCAAAAAUAAUGAUGUGAUAUAUGAAUAAAUGGUAACAGAGACUGAGAUAUGAUAAGCAUAUGAAUGCCUAUGACUGAGUAUGUAAUACAAUGAAAGCAGAUAGCUCAACAAUAGAAAUGACCUCAGUGGGUCCCAACAGGAUAAGCAUGUAGCCUAGACAUGGUUUCUAACAUGGAUCACGAAUCAAUAGCUCGAAUACGUAGAAAUUUCAUAGUUAUAGGUAAGAUCAAGUAACUACACAGUACCAUAGAAAUAACGGAGUCACAAACCCACACGCCCGUCAACUAGCAUCCGCAUCACCUCAACAAUAAUCACAUAACAUGUAAUUCGGGGUUUCAUACCCACGACACCAAGUUUAGAAGUGUUACUUACCUCGAACAAACCAAUGCCAAUACCGAGCGAGCCAAGCGAUGCUCCAAAAAUGUCAUCUCGCUCGUACCGACCUCCGAACGGCCCAAAACUAGCCAAAAGCAACUCAAAUACAUCAAAUAAUGCCAAAGGAAACAAACCCAAUCGAUAAAAGUCGAAUCUGUAAUCAAAGCCCAAAAAUUGACCAAAAAGUCCACCCCGGGACCACACCUCGGAACCCGACAAAAAUCAUAAAAUCCGACAACCCAUUAAAUCACGAGUCCAGACAUACUAGUUUCACUUAAAUCUGUCUCCAAAUCGAUGUUCAAAACUCGAAAAUUCACAUUAUGAAACCUUAGGCAAAAACCCCCAAUUUCUCUUUUGGAACCCUCAAUGAAAUGCCGAAAAUGAAGAUAGAUUCGUGAUAUAAAAUAAAAAAUGAGUAGAGAACACAAACCCCAGUUCACACUGUGAAAAUUUCUUCAAGAAUCGCCUCAAUCCGAGCUCCACAACUCCAAAAAUGUAAAAAUAGCUGAAACCCUCGAAAUAAAGUACUUUAUAAUUUGCCGAGGCAUCCCUCUUACGCAAACACGGGAAAACCAUUGUGUUCGCGAUGACCAAAAAACAUAAUGCCACCAAAAUACUCUACGCCUUCGCGGCACAAGCCUCGCGAACAUGAUACACACAGGAGACGGAGCUACGCGAACACGGUUCCAACUAUGCGAACGCGAUUAAGAAAGGCCUCCAGUUAUAACUCCCACCUCACUCCGCGAUCGCGGUGAAGAAAUGCGACACUAGACACCAAAACACACCAGCAAUGAAAACAUGAAGAAAAAUAGCCCGAAAUCAAUUCAAAAAAUGCCGAGCCCCUCGGGACCACGUACGAACAUUCCAACAAGUUCCAUAACAUAAUACGAACCUACUUGAGGCCUAAAAACAUACAUAACAGUAUCGUAACAACGAAUCGCACCUCAAUUCAAACUUGAUGAACUUUGAACUUUUCAACUUCCAUAACUCGUGCCGAAACAUAGCAAAUCAACCCAUAAUGAACUAAAAUUUUGCACCCAAGUCCCAAAUGACAUAACGAAACUAUUCCAAUUCCUGGAAUCACAAUCCGAAUCUGAUAUCAAAAAGUCCACUCCAGGUCAAACUUUCCAAAAAUCCAACUUUUGCCAUAUCAAGUCAAAUUCAACUACAGACCUCCAAAUCACAAUCCGGAUGCGCUCCAAAGUGCAAAAUCACCCAACGGAGCUAAUAGAACAAUCAAAACUCCAAUCCGAGGUCAAAUGCUAAAAAAUCAAACUUGGUCAACUCUUCCAAUAUAAAGCUUUCUAGUUGAGAAUCAUUCUUCCAAAUAAAUUUUGAAUAACCUGAAAGCCAAAAUCGACAAUUCACAUAAGUCAUAAUAUAUCAUACAGCGCUAUACAUGCCCGUAAACUAUCGAGAAAAGUCCAAAUGCUCAAAAUGACUGUCUGGAUCGAAACAUCCUCCCCCACUUAAACAUACGCUCACCCUCGAAUGUUCCUAGAAUAGUUCCAAAGCCGCGAAACCGUUGUGUAACCUUACCACGCACAUACCCGGGGAUAUCCCAAGUCACCCUAUCCUAUAUAGGUAUGAUAACACAACAUAACUGAAAUUCCUUAAUUCGACCUAGCCUAUGAGCCUUAGAAUCCAAUUUCCAACAUCCAGAAUAUUCUAUAAGAUCAAAAUCUCGCAUCUACACACUGUAUAAGUCUGAAAAAGUUGUAUCAAGCCAUAUCCAUAACCCAAGAUGUAUUCACAUGACACACCACACCACUCGCAUACUCGUAGAAAAAUUUCCGAUCAUAGUAGCUGCUCAAAACAACCAAAUAUCGGAAAUAAACUUAAUAUCAAAUAAAAUAUCGUUUUAAAGCCUUCGUACACUGCCGACGAUGAAAGAAACACGCAUAACUCAUAGCCAUUCAUAAGAUCAACACGUCACGGAGCCCCCACUCUUUCGGCAAUAACUAUAGCAAUUUCUAAGCCGACAUCCGAUACUAUCCUUCCAAAUAUACCGCAAUCAAAUCUGAUGGUACCCAUCCUAGAUCUGACGAGCUCAUCUUACCAAAUACCAGCUACUCUAUUGACAUGCCACACCAAUGCUACCCAGAGUCACAAACCGUGUAAUCCGUGCACCAAUAUGUAACAAUUCAAAUGUACUCAAACAUGGAAAAAUGACUCAAACGAGAGGACCGUCCCGCAAGCUCAACAAAUACUGCCACAACGCAAUGCUAAAAACCAUCACACACCGUAGAACCAUAACACAUGAAUCUAACACAAAGGUUCAUAUCUCAACAUGACUCCGCUGCAAUGCGUGACCCCAUUCAAACACUGGUCCAUAUGAAAUACCUCAAGCCACUCUGUUCAAAAUGAAUAACCGCGUGAAACUCGACAUCAAGUACCCAAGGUGCAUAACCAUAACCAUGGAGAAGCAAAUGACACAAUUCCACACAAGCCCGAAAGAACAUAACUAAUACACAAUCAAUCAUGCAUCACCCAAAUACCUAUCUCGCUCAAAUUCCGAUGUAAGGCCCCAGUAGAACCGCACUAUGUGUGCAUAUAAUCAACGAAUCACAACUCCUCAUAGCAUAAAAUGGUAACUGAUAGAGCAUAUCAGAACACGAAUAACCUCAACUCCAACCUAAUGGAUCAUCCUUCAACAGUAGUAGUACGGAGUCCACCAAUCCGACCCUAUGUAGAAUACUCAUCCAAAUUGGGUCUAUCAAUUGGUCCCAAAUCAACUCUGGUCAUUCACAAAUAGAUAAAUACCCCCCUCCCCCCUCCCCCCGAAAGUCCACAAUAUCCUAACCAUAACACAUACCAUCCUCUGACUAGCUUUGGUCACAUUUUCACAGUCCACAACCAUGAAACAAUCUGCUCCUGAGAACUCCCGGUCUCUAAAUCCAUAGAACACACGAAUCACUAUAUGUGAUCCCAACUCCACCGCCUGAAUAUCUAACACAUCUCUUAUACACGAUCAUCCCAUGAGGAAUUCGUCUCCAAUUCAUCCGUACCAUAUAGCAAUAUAUGAAAAUCAGUAGUCGGACAACUAGGAGAGUGACACAAUACCAAUGAAGUAUCCAUAAAUCAGAACACAUCGCGCUUUCUGAAAUGCGCGCCCUUCUUAGGCAAUACCAAGAGGUAAUAUCAUUCACCUAGUCAUCUGAAACCUUCCAUGCUGCCUAAGAAUUUAUGUCCUCCCCUUCAAAACUGACCCGUGACCUUGCACAUGUAAUUCCAGAUGCCACACAACACACCACAUCUAUCAUUCCAUCAUGUGAAGAGUACAAGAAUCUCAUAAUCAACUUUGAGUCACAAGAAAACUACAUACUCAAUUAGCCACGAGCCUUCCAUGAGAUCCCAUCCAAGAGAAAAUCACAAUACGCCACAUGUUCCACACACCAGUAGGAAAUAUACACCUCAAACCGUGGUAGAAACCAUUGAGAACUCUUUGGAAUCCAUUUGCACAUAACCAAACUAUCAUAACCGAAUCCCUCUAUCUCAACCAAGCCACGCAGGUCACCAAAACCCAAUAGUAUUACCACGAAACACCUUUAGAGACUCGCCACCUCAUAAUUACCUAAAGAUCUGAUUAUAUCCAUUAUUGUGAUGAUUCGACCUACUAUCAAGUUGUCCUAUUUCUCCGAGUUCCUUCUGAAUUACCUUCAAAUUGAUACUCCUCCUCGCCAUAAUACCACGAUCCUGAACCAAAACUUACCACAUGAGAUCCUAAUACAAAACCACACCGCCCUAAGUCUUAAAAGUUGUUGUAUCGCCUCUUAAGCACCCCAAAAGUGCAACAAUUGAGACACCCACUAUGAAGAGGCCUUCUAUGAAUCUAAAGCCAUUUGAUUGACCUACCUGAUAAUGAAAAGUAUAAUCUAUAAUGAUUUAGAAAUACCGUGAGUCUUGACACCGUCCAAUGCAAAUCUUAGAUUCUAGCCACAUACAAGUCCGAAAAAUUCUCAAUUUCCACAUAUAUAACUUGAAUCCAUUAGAACCUCCUCGAGAGUCAUCCACUCCAUUCAAAUUUCAAUUGCACUGAUCAAACAGGCCGAAUGACCCGUGCCACAUUAUCACAACAACACCCAAGGAAGUAAUCCACACCUCCAAGCAACCGAGUAAAUCCCUACUCCAUGCGUACUACAUAUUCUUUUACGAAUAACAACUCAAUCAUCCCAUGAUUCCCAUAUACCCAUAAAGUAUAAUACAACCUGUAUCCAGAAAUUCCUUUACUCGAGUCAUCCUCGAUCUCACCCUCUACAAGUCAUAACUUAUUCACAAGUAUACCUCAAACCGAAACCAAUACAACAGAUAACCGUGCAAUCAACUCGUCGAUAGCAAACUCCACCACUUGGCUCAAAGCCAUGGAAUAAAACAUCUGAUAGCUUACAAUAACCAUACCCCAUUACUGCAGUGAGAUUCAACUAAAUCUUUCAUAAGCUCAUGUAACACAAACCAUCUAAUACUUCAACUUAUCUUCAAAUGUCGCAUUCACGCUUGUUACAGUCAAGCCAACUUCCACAAGCAGUCCAGACUCAAAUUGUAACACAUAUAAUUCACUAUAAAGGAGAACUCUAUACAAAAACAACAUUGGGAUCACGCAACCUCACGACACCCCGCAAGAGAUAACCCACCUGCUGUGCCUUAAACUGACAUCUCUCUAUACACUUCCACAGCCACAACUACUAUGCCAUCACUUAAUCUUCAGGAGUCUGAGCUCAUAACAUGACAUGAAAAUCUACUUCACUCUACAAUUAAACAACAUGAAUGAUCCUUCAACACACUCAUAACUCGAGAUUAUACGUCAAAUCAAGACAGUGAUCAAGCACCCAAUAGUCCUUUUUACAUCUCAGGAAAACUCCUCUCGUCACAUUUGAACAAUCUGAACACUUCCCGUAGUCACAUCAUACUCGUUAUAUGUCCAUCCAACCACUCAUCGAGGCACAAAUUUCACUAAUAGAGACAAUACCGUAUUUAUAAGUCCAAAAGCACAUGCUCACACAAACGAAAUCUACGUGAUCAAGCUACCAUAAAAAACCCAGCCUCAAGUCCUCCAAACUGGCCCUUCAGCACAUAGAAAUCACAUCUCACACCUCAUCCAUGGAAUCACAAGCCGUCGAUGCACAGUUGAUACUGAGUGCUCAUAUACGCAUACGAAUGCGUAGAAGAAAUUCAAAGAGUUACGCUUCAAGCUAAAUCAAUGUCGCACGAUAAGGAAAGAAAGAUGGGAAAUACAUCCUAAAUGUCAUGUAGCCUCUCGAAGAUGGGUGUGGACGUCAUCACACCGAUCUGCAAGACUCUACUAGACACUUGCUCAUGACUUGUAGAACCUAUAAAUCUAGAGAUCUGAUACCAAUUUGUCAUGACCCAAAAUCCAACUAGUCGUGAUAGCACCUAACCCAACCCGCUAGGUAAGCCAAUUAACCUCUAUCCAAUUUCAAUAAAAUUUUAUGAAACUAUAAAUAAAAGAAAAUAUCUGAAUCUUAUACAUUCUCCAAUGACUGGUAGUACAAAUCAUGAGCUUCUAUGAUUAGAAUUUACAAAGCGGGUAUGAAAUAAAUACAUCAUCAGUUCUAACGGUACAUAAAUCGAUUUUUAAUAAUCUAAGGCUACCAUGAAUAAGAGGCAACUACAACCGAAACGCAGGUACAUCUUCAAAUCCAGAUCCCAUUGAACACAACAACAUCAGCACCCAACAUAUUCACAUAAGGUGCAGAAGUGUAGUAUGAAUACAACCGAUCCUACGUACUCAAUAAGUAACAAACCUAACCUAAGGUUGAAAGUAGUGACGAGCUGGAACAAAUGUCGGGUCCAACACCAAUAGCCAACAACAGUUCAUAACAACGUAAAGCAAGUGAUAAGAGAAGUAACUCAGAGAUAAAAUGCUCAGCUUAUUCAUAGUUCAAGAAAAUAGUUCUACUUUUCAAAUAUAUCAGUGAAACCCCAAGUCUUUUACCGAAAAUUUGCCAAAAUGUGAGUAAGUUUGGAACAGUAAUAUUUUCCAAAAUUCCUUUCAAUAGUAAAUAAGAUGUUUAUUUUCUUUCUAGAUAGCAGGUGCAAAAUCCAUUUCUAUGCCCAUAUGUCAAUAUGUGUGAGAACUCAUGAAUGACAUAAUACCGUACAGCAUGAUGAAAAAUGCGUAUCUAUGCCAGUAUGCCAAGUGUGCAUGCCAAAUGCAAUGCGACUCAGUGAUAAAACUAUAUGCAUACUCUCAGAGUAUCAAUUUACUCAAUCCUCCUAGUCACUCAGUCCUCACAGCCACUCAGUACUCACAGUCACUCAGUACUCACAAUCACUCAAUUCUCUCAAUCACUCGGCAGUCGGCACUCAGCACUAGACACUCGACACUCGUACUCAGUAGGUACCUGCGCUCACUAUGGGUGUGUACAGACUAUGUAGGGGCUGUUCAGCCCAAGCGUUAUAAAUGCACAGACAACUCAUGUGCUAUAGUAUUAAUAUCCUCACAAUCACGCCCUCGGCCUCACUCAGUCAUCAAUCUCUCCAGUCUCUCGGGCUCUCGAUGUCAUAAAAAAUCAGCCCAAAAAUAAUGAUGCGAUGUAUCAAUAAAUGGUAACAGAGACUAAGAUAUGAUAUGCAUAUGAAUGCGUAUGAAUGAGUAUGUACUGAAAUGAAAGCAGGUAGCUCAACAGAAUAAAUGAUCUCAGUGGGUCCCAACAGGAUAAGCAUGUAGCCUAGACAUGGUUUCUAACAUGGAUCACAGCUCAACAACUCGAGUACGUAGAAAUUUCAUGGUUACAAGUAAGAUCAAGUAACUAUACAACACCACAAAAAAAUAGAUUCAUAAAUCCACACAGUGCACGCCCACACGCCCAUCACCUAGCAUGUGCGUCACCUCAACGCUAAUCACAUAACAUGUAAUUCGGGGUUUCAUACCCUCGACACCAAGUUUAGAAGUAUCACUUACAAGCCAAUUCCAAUACUGAGCAAGCCAACCGAUGCUCCAAAAAUUCCAUCUCGCUCGUACCGACCUCCGAACAUCCCAAAACUAGCCAAAAGUAACUCAAAUACAUCAAAUAAUGCCAAAAGAAACAAACUCAUUCGAUAAAAGUCGAAUCUUUAAUCAAAGCCCAAAAAUCGACCAAAAAGUCCAACCCGGGACCAUGCCUAUGAACCCGACAAAACUAAUAAAACCCGACAACCCAUUCAAUCACGAGUCCAGCCACACUAGUUUCACUCAAAUCCGACUCCAAAUCGAUGUUCAAAACUCGAAAAUUCAUAUUAUGAAACCUUGGGCAAAAACCCCCAAUUUCUAUUUUGGAACUCUCAAUGAAAUGCCAAAAAUGAAGCUAGUUUUGUGAUAUAAAAUAAAAAAUGUGUAGAGAACACUUACCCCAGUCCACACGGUAAAAAUUGCUUCAAGAAUCGCCUCAAUACGAGCUCCAUAUCUCCAAAAAUGUAAAAUGGUUGAUACCCCCAAAAUAGAGUACUUAAUAAUCUGCACAGGCAUCCCUCUUACUCGAACGCGGGAAAACCAUCGCAUUUGCAAUGACCAAAAAACAUAAUGCCACCAAAAUACGCAACGCAUUCGCGGCACAAGCCUCGCAAACGGGAUACAAACAUUGGACAGAACUACGCGAAUGGUGUUCCAACUACGCGAACGCGAUGAAGAAAGGCCUCCAGCUCCAGCUCCCAGCUCAACCCUACGCGAACGCGUGAAUGCAUGUGCGAACGCGAUAUACAAUCUGCAGUAACCUAUGCGAACGCAGACCAAUUUUUGAGAACACGAAGAAGAAACACUCAUCCUCAGAUUUUUCCUUUACGCGAUCGCAUUCCUCAUUCCGCGAUCGCGAUGAAGAAAUGUGAGACCAGACACCAGAACACACCAGCAAUGAAAACAUGAAGAAAAAUAAACUGAAAUCAAUCCAAAACAUGCCUGAGCCCCUCGGGACCACGUCCAAACAUCCCAAUAAGUUACAUAACAUAAUAUGAACCUACGCGAUGCCUCAAAACACACAUAACAAUAUCGAAACGAUGAAUCACACCUGAAUUUAAACUUGAUGAACUUUGAACUUUUCAACUUUCACAACUCGUGUCAAAACAUAGAAAAUAAACCCGGAAUAAAUUCAAAUUUUGCACACUAGUCCCAAAUGACAUAACGAAACUAUUCCAAUUCCUGAAACCACAAUCUGAAUCCGAUAUCAAAAAAUUCACUCCCGGUCAAACAUUCCAAAAAUCUAACUUUAACCAUUUCAAGUCCAAUUCAACUACGGGUCUCCAAAUCACAAUCCGGACAUGAUCCUAAGUCCAAACUCACCCAACGGAGCUAACGGAACCAUCAAAACUCGAAUCCAGGGUCAAAUACUAAAAAGACAAACUGAGUAAACUCUUCCAAUUUAAAGUUUUCUAGUUCAGAAUCAUUCUUCCAAAUUAAUUCUGAAUAACCUGAAAGCCAAAAUUCGACGAUUCACACAAGUCAUAAUACAUCAUACGGAGCUACUCAUGCCCGUAAACUACCGAGCAAAGUGAAAAUACUCAAAGCGACCGGUCGGGUCGUUUCAAUCAUCAGCUGAAAUAUCAAAACUCCUAAUCCACUUGUUAUGAAAGUGGAUUAUAAUGCUAUUCCGUGUAUAUUUAAAUGAAAUAUUGAAAUUUUAAAAGCCCUAAUCUACUUGUUCAUUUCUAUAUGAGAUGUCAGUAGUCACCUUGGCUAUAACUACAUACAAUUGCUCCAAACUUCAAUAAUCAAUAGCAGCCCAUCCUUUACUUCUAAAAAUUACUUACUUUGAAAAGUAUUUUAUCAACAUAGUAUUUCAUAAGUAGUUUUGGAGAAAAAUAAUUUAUGUUUGGCAAAUUCUUUUGAAAUUAUUUGAUAAACAAAUCGUGUUUGGUCAUGUAAUAACCCGAUAACUUAAGAGUGAACUUUAAAGUUAUUUUGUUAGUUAUAAUUUAUUUAAUUUUCAUAGGUAUUAAUAUGCAUGUACAUAUAUGUUUUUAAUUAUUAUUAUCAUUUACAUAGGUAUGAAGCACCUAGAACUAAUACUUGGUUGAUGGUCCAAUUAAUGAUGUCUAGUCAAAUGACUAUUUAAUAAUUACUAUAUAAUAAUAAAGUGGGCCAAACCCAUAAGUCUAGUUACGUGCAGGACCUAGAAGGGAGAAACCUAACGUAACAAAUACUAAGUGAAUAAUUAAAUUUAGAUAACGAAGAGAAAUUCACUACAAAGUAGAGGGCUUUUUGGCAGUGACAGGGAUUUUCUUGAAGCGUUAGUGGCGUGAACUUACAGCGCUAGAAAGAGUGAAAUAUUCUUGCAAGUUACAACUCAACCGUAAUAGCAAGGUAUAGAUUUAAAGUUAUCACUAUAGCUGUAUUUCUUGAAUUAAUCUAGGAGAGAUAUUAUUAGUUGUUUUUGUUAUAGUGACAAAGAUCGAGUUGGGAACAAAGUCGUCAUCACAAGCAUUAUAGUAUUUGUAAGGCCUCGAGAAUAUAAGUAUAAUUUAGUAAUGAAAAUCAUACUAUUUAGUUAGGGGUGUACAUAGAUCGGGUUUAUUCGAUUUCUAUUAAAAUCAAACCAACUAUAUCGGUUUUGUUUAGUUCGGCUUUUUCAGGUUUUUCAGUCUUUUUUUGUUAUAUAAAUUUUAUUUCAAUCUUACAUUAUUAAAUUUUUGAUAAGUAAAUAUAUGUCUAUUAAAAAUUAUAAGAAUUAACAAACAUAUGAUCUAUUAAAAUAAAUUAAUGAGAUAAUUUUCUCAGUAACAUAUAAUAGUUAUUUUUUUAACAUCUCACAAUAAUUUUUUCUUAAUAUACACUUUCAAGGUUAACCAGAUUUAAUAAUUAAACUUAAAAAUUAAUAUGAUACCUAAAUUAUUUUUUAUUUAAUUUUAAAUUAUCGAAAUACCAGUUCAAAUUUGAAAACGAUAUAUGAAUUUAAUAGAUCUUGACAUAUGAAUAUUGAAGAACAAAAGGAUUGACGCAUUUCAAUAACACUUGAUAAGAAAGUUAUCAAACAACCCAUUAUUUAAAGUUUAUAAAAAUGAAACACUUUAUAAGAUCUAUUAGAUAUUACAUCCAUAAGAGAAUCCCAAAUAUUUCUAGACAUUUUUGAAAUGCUGAAGUGGAUGUGUGGGCAUACUAGAAGAGAAACGAUCAUCAAUGAAGAUAUUCGAGACAAGGUAGGGGUAGCUCCCGUGGAGGAUAAGUUGUGAAAAAUGAGGCUGAGAUGGCACGAGCAUGUGAGGAGUAGAUGGCCCAGUAAAAAGGUGUGAGAGGUUGCACAUGGUGGCUUUUGUCACACCUCUUUUUUAUGGAAAAGAAAAUUUUUCAAUUAAAGUGACAUUAUUGAAAUGAGAUUAUUUAUUUUUAUAUUAUAAGAAUCUCCACUCGAAAUUAUUUAAUUACGGUGUUUUCGGUCAUCAUUUAUUUUAAAUCCCAAAUCAAGAAAAUUUGACUCUGUAAGGAGUUCGGUUAACCCGGGAGAAGGUAUGAGACAUUCCCGUAUUACGCGGUUCUAGCACGAUCUCUUUACAAUCAUGGUUGUCUUAAUUAAUGGAUAUUACGUAUUUUUUAACCUCCGUGCAUUUUAACUUUUUACUGCAUUCGAUCUCUUUAAGUACAAACUAUAUGAAGCUAUUCCAAACAAUAAAAUUGAAAUCUUUAAAGAGAAACAAAAAGUAAGCGAUUAACAAGCUCAACAAACUUCACGAUCGCUCCCUUACCUUCGCGAACGCGAAGAGAAAAAUCCCAGUAGUCACUGAUGACUCUACGCGAUCGUGAGAGAACCUUCACGAACGCAUAUAAGGAAACCAGAACAAAAAACAAGUAGCUUCAACAAUUCUAUCAAGUCCAAAAAUGAUCCAAUUUCUAUCUGACUCAUACUCGGGACCCUCAGAACCAGUCUGAAUAUACCAACAAGUUCCAUAACACAUAACGGACCUAUUCGAGGCCAAAACUCACAUCAAAUGAUAUCGAUUCUAUGAAUCGCAACCCAAUUCAAACUUAUUAAAACUAUGAAAAUCCGACUUCCAAAACUAACGUCGAGUCAUACCAAAAUAACUCCGAUUGACUUAAAAUUUUGCACACAAGUGAUAAAUGAUAUGACGGACCUAUUACAACUUUGGGAAUCAGAUAUCAAUAAAGUCAACUCAUGGUUAAACUUCUCAACCUUCCAAACCUUCAACUUUCUAAAUUUUGCCAAUUCAAGCCGAAACGACCUACAGACCUCCAAAUAAAUAUGCAGACAUGCUCCUAAGUCCAAAAUCACCAUGCAGGGCUAUUGGAACCGUCAAAACUCUAUUUUGGAGUCGUUUACACAAAAAUCAAACUACGGUCAAUUCCUUCAACUUAAACUUCCAACUUUGGGACUGUGUCCCAUUUUACUCCGAAGCUCACCCGAAAUCAAAACAACUACCCCAAAAAGUCACAUAACAAAAAUACAAUAUAGAGUAAUCAAUAAAUAGGGAAUCAGGGCUAAAAUACUCAACAUGACCGGUUGAGUCAUUACAUAAGGUAUGCCUGCUCCGCGUCUGCAAGCCUCAGAAUCCCCUUCCCUUAUCCUUAAUUAUUGUUUAUUUUCUUUCAGAUAGUGAAGUAAAAUAUAUUAUAGUUUCACUCUCUAGCGAUUAUGACUCAGUUCUACCGAUCUUAGGGAGUAUAUUGUUGUGGAUUCUAAUUUUGGAAGUUUAUAUCAGAUAUUCAGCUUUGUUUUUUGUAUUUUGUUAAAUAUUUAUGCCAAGUGUCCAUUAACGGUUAGGCUUACCUAGUCGUAUAUACUUAGGUUCUAUCACGAUAUCAUACAAAGGAAAAUUAGGGUCGUGACAACGUGUGGGCGUGCACCGUGAUAAUUAUGAUUGGGUUGAUUUUGCGAUACUGUGUAGUUAUCUAGUCUUGUUUCUAUCCGUGUAAUUCCUACGUGUUAGAGUAAUUGAGUUGUGAAUCAUAUUAGAAAUCAUAUUUAGGCUAUGUGCUUAUUCUGUUGGGAUCCACUAAGGUUAUUUAUGAUAUUGAGUUAUUUACUUAAGUUGCAAUUCCUACGUGUUAGAGUAAUUGAGUUGUGAAUCAUAUUAGAAAUCAUGUUUAGGCUAUGUACUCAGUCAUAUUCAUUCAUUUGUAUAACAUAUCUCAGUAUCUGUUAUCAUUUACGAUUAUAUCAUGUUAUCAUUGUUUGGGUUGAGUGGUAUGAGAUAUGUGAGCCCGUGAGACUGGAGAGAUUGAUGACUGAGUUGGGGCCUGAGAGCCGUGUUGUGAGUGAUAUUGUGGAUCGGGUUGAAUGUCGUAACAUGCCAUAUUGGAUUUAUAUUUAUUAUUAUUAUUAUUAUGGAUUAGCCUACAUGCCGCAACAGGCAUCAUUAGCUUAUUUAUUAUUAUUAGAUUGGGUUGCACGCCGCAGCAGGCCAUAUUGGCUUUAUAUUAGUGCUUGGGUAGGAUUCGUCUUUCUAGAGUGUGACAUAUCAGCAGUUAGCGCAGGUACCGUACAAUGAUGAGUGAUUAUGCGUGAUGAGUACGAGUUUGAGAUAGACAAAUUGAGUACUCUUAGAGUGUAUGUACCUGGGAUUAUAACUAUGAUGCAUCAUAUUUGACAUACAUAUUUGACAUGUAGGCAUAGAGAUGUAACAUUUCUCAUACUAGUUGUACUUGGCAUAGUUUAUCAAUGCUGAGCUUAAAUUGUUGAACUUGAAAGCAUGCCUAAAUUUACGUACUAUGUACAAGUUGAAUAUGGAACUUCUCUGAGUUAUUAGUGUCAUUAUCUGGUUAUAUUAGUGUUGUCGUCAUUUUUAUUCGGACUGUAACUUUCCGAGCUCGUCACUACUUUCAACCCAAAGUUAGUCAUGUUACUUAUUGAGUAUAUUGGGUCAGUUGUACUCAUACUACACUCUACACUUCGUGUGCAGAUCCAGGUACAUCUGGAUGCGGUGAUUGCUUGAGUGGUGAUAGUACAUGUUCGGAGACCUCGAGGUAGCUGUGAUGACGUCCGCAAACCUUGACUCUCCUUUAUUUCAUUUUAUUUCAGUACUGUUCUAUCUUCUCAGACAGUUAUACUAGAGUUUUAGACUAUGUUGACAUUAGUAGCUCAUGCGCUCGGUGACACUAGGAUUUUGGGAUUAUUGUAGUAGAGUUGCAGUUGUUUUUAUCAGUUAUUUACGAGACUUUCCACUAUUGGACCUAUUAAAUCAUGUUUUUAAUUUAAAAUGCGUAGUUAUUAUGUGAUUUUUGGCUUUCUUAGUAAUUUGAUAGGCGCCAUCACGAGAGGUUGGGAUUUGGGUCGUGAGAUAAACUUUCAAUUUCCCUUCCCUAGAGAUAUUAUUGAUAGAACUAAUAAUAUAUAUCUUCUUUCUCAUUAAUCCCACCAAGCAUGAUACCCCAAUUUGGGGUAUUAUACCUUGUCAAAUACUUUAUUGGGUCACAUCAUUAUAUAACUAUGAAUAUGAUAUUAUUUUUGUUUUAUUCGUUAUUUUUAUUAGUAUUUAUUAUCUUAUCGUUUGAUCAACAUUAUCAUCUUACAGUCUCUUCCUUAAUUUUAUCUUAUCCCGUUUUUACUAUAUUCUCUUUUUACAUUCCUUCAUUCUUAUUUCAUCUGUCUUUAUUAUGUAGAGCCGUUAGGUCAAAGCUCAUUCUAGAGUCAUUGCCGCAUGUAUGAAAUAAAAAAUAAUAAGGGGUAAUAAACAAGACAAAGCUAUAAAUAAAAUUAAAACACACGCAAUACUAUUAUAUGGCUCCAAUAUAAGACUUGCGAAUAUUAUUUGCACUUUAUUCACUAGUAGAAACAACAGUCCUUAUUCAUGCAGUAAACAGCUAGCCAAGAAGGUUAACUAGCUAAUGCAUAGUAGUAGUACAAAUUAAGCACUAGCAGGCUAGCUCAUUCACUAUAAAAUGAGGUUAAGAUUAAGUAUAAAACCAGUAGGACCUAAACUGACACUAACAACACCGUCGACAUCCAAUACCGAUAUUUACAAAGUUCAAGGAUGACGCCAAAAUCCCAACAGAUGGUAAGCUCGCUUUACAUGUUGAGAGUGGAGUUGAAACUACUAAAUGGCAGUUGGACAAUAGCAAUGGCAAAGUAUUUACACGAGGAUCUACCACCAAGGAAAAUACUUCUGAUCCAUUUGUUAUUGUACUUGAUACCACAUUUCUUGCUCCACACCGCAAUUGCACUGAUAUAUCUGCAAAGUUAAAUGAUAUUAUUAUUAUUUGCGCAAUUAGAUCAACUUUUUAUUUUAGCUGAUAUGUUGAAAAUAAAAUUAAUUAUGUAAAUAAAAAGUUAUUAUCUCACACUUUUUAGACUUUUAGAUGCAAUGAUCAUACAGUUCAACAAGCAGAAACCUCUUAUGAUGGGGCCAUAUGCAUCUUAUGAAUACGAGUGUAGAAUUCAUUCGACUUAAGUUACUCUAUGUUUAUACCAUCCUCACCCAUUGUUAUGAAAGGAAUAAUAGAUGCAGUGUUAUUUCACUUAGACUUCAAAUCAAGAAAUCUGCCUAAAUUUUAAGAAAGUUUACUUGUAGUUUUCUCUUGGAUCAUCUAACAGUGUAUAUGUACUCAUAUAUCAUAGGCUAAUAAUGCCACUUACGACAUCUAUCAU